rnacentral:misc_RNA from 1 species
UCUCCGUUGGUGAACUAGCGGAGGGAUCAUUACGAAGAGAGGGGGGCCGCCCGCGACCCCCCCCGCCCCCAACACCACUGUGAACCUUACCUGAGAGUUUUUCUCCUUGCCUCGGCAGGCGGCACCCGGGGGGGGCCCCGGGCCUCCCUCCCUGCGGGGAGGAGGCGCCUGCCGGGCGGGACAGACCACUGGAACUCUGUUGUAGACCGUCCUCUGAGCGAGAUUUUAGGGCCUACCCUCACGGGCGGCUCGAAUCAGUAAAAACUUUCAACAACGGAUCUCUUGGUUCUG